rnacentral:rRNA from 1 species
UACGUAGGGUGCGAGCGUUGUCCGGAAUUAUUGGGCGUAAAGAGCUCGUAGGCGGUGUGUCACGUCGGCCGUGAAAACCUGCGGCUUAACUGUGGGCGUGCGGUCGAUACGGGCAUCACUGGAGUUCGGCAGGGGAGACUGGAAUUCCUGGUGUAGCGGUGAAAUGCGCAGAUAUCAGGAGGAACACCGGUGGCGAAGGCGGUUCUCUGGGCAUGUCCUGACGCUGAGGAGCGAAAGUGUGGGGAGCGAACAGG